CUUCAAGUUCAGGGCAUAAUUGGGUAGAAGUUGCAGCCAAACGAGAAGGGAUCUUGGCAGGAAGAUGGAGAAACCGAUGAAGAAGGGGAACAAGAAGUCGAUGAAGGGCAGGUGGUGGGUACAUUUGACGUUGUACAGAAGUUACCCUCUAGUGUAACACAUGUUACAAACAUGUGUUACAUAUGUUCAACCCCUUUGUUACCAAAAAUCGGGGCUGCACAUAUGUAAGACAUGUUUGUAACUUAUGUUACACUAGAGGGUAGCACAUGUAUGAUCAUUUUUGGAUCAUUUGUAUAUAUUUAAGUCUGUAUAAACCUACAACAUCGAAACCCCCAAAAAGGUUACACAUGUUAUGACAGAAUGGGAAAUGUGUAGCAGCGUUCAAUACUGUUGUUUCACUCUAUAGUGUGUAACAUGUGUGACAUGGCGUUUGUCAGCAAAACAUAUAACUUGUAAGGUGAUACGGUUGUAUCUUUAAAACA